rnacentral:snRNA from 1 species
GCACUUGUUUCGGCAGUGCAUUUGUUAAAAUUUGACUGAUACAGAAAAGAUUAGCAUG